CCAGGAUCCCAGGCAAUCUGACUCCAGAACAUAGUCACUUAACUUAAUGCACUACUACACAUACAAGACCCCAGAUGACCACCAACAGCAGCUGGGAUUUGACCAUAACAUAGAAGAUGCGUGGUGAAUGCAGUUGCAAGUCAUCUGCCCAUGUUUCUUGCUGAAUUGUUGUGUUUUCAAUGGACCUGUCCCUGUCCCCUAGUCAGCAAGAGUCCAGAAGCCCUUCUGCACUCAUGGCAACCAAACAACUUCAGACACUGUCAAAUAUCCACUGCGGGGCAAGAACUGUUGUUGCUCAACCCACCAAGACAGAAAGGAUUU